rnacentral:lncRNA from 1 species
GUAUAUCAUAUAAAAAUUUUGUUAAGAAAAUUUUAUCGAUUACAUGUUUAAUUGAUAAAAGAAUCAAAUUGCAUGAAAUGCAAAAGUUGAGUUCUAGUAGCUAUAAGUAUCAAAUAGCUAUGAAAUUCAAAAUUUGAGAUCCUUAUAUGGAAAAUAAACCAUUAAGAAGAAUUUGUAGAUAAGUAUUGUAAUAGCCCAUUUUGCCCGGGCCCGCACAAACUAAAACAAAAAAUAAAUAAAUAAAAACAAAAAAUAAAAUAAAAAGUUCAGUCCAAACGUCCAAUUACAUUACUCAGCCCAAAACAAAUAAAUCCAUUACAUUAGCCCAAAUACCCACUAAACCCAAUUAACCCAAACCCAAUUAACCUAGCCCAGCUAAUGUGCAAAAACAGAAAACCCUAACUCAGCAAGCUCUCGCGUCGUUCC